AGUCGAGAUGCGGCAAAGCAGAGGCAAACAGCUAGGCACAAAGCAAUAGAGUUGUAAACUUUGUUUUUUUUUGUUUUUUGUUUUUUUUUCCUGCUGCCGCCUAUACUGCCUCUCUCCCAUAGGAAGAACACUACCUCUGGGUAGCCAGGAGCUGAGAUGCAGUCUGAAUGUUCACGGUGGCUUCUGACGUGGCAGCGUGAAUUCUCAGCUGGGCAGUGCUGAGGAUUGAACCCAUGGCCUCGUUGCAUGUCAGGUGCUGGGAACAUUAAAUCUUCAUGUCUGGAGGACAAGAAAACUAAAAUACAGACAUGGCGCCUGCCUGGAGUGGUGGUAUGAGUGCCCAAUCUCAACGAAACAACCAAGGCCACCUGUUCCCAUUUUUUUUUAUUGCUGUUGUUACAUGUGUAUAUGUGACAUAUGUGCAUGUAUGUUCAUGUGUUUGUGGGUACACAUUGUAUGCCGGUGUGUGUGGAUAUGUCUCUACGUGGCCAUUGAAGAAAUUAAAACAGGAAGACUC
rnacentral:lncRNA from 1 species